UACGUAGGGGGCAAGCGUUGUCCGGAAUCAUUGGGCGUAAAGCGCGUGUAGGCGGCUCGGAAAGUCUGGUGUGAAAUCUUGAGGCUCAACCUCAAGCUGUCACUGGAAACUGUCGGGCUUGAGUCCGGAAGAGGAGUGUGGAAUUCCUGGUGUAGCGGUGGAAUGCGCAGAUAUCAGGAGGAACACCAAUAGCGAAGGCAGCUCGCUGGGACGGUACUGACGCUGAGGCGCGAAAGCGUGGGGAGCGAACAGG
rnacentral:rRNA from 1 species